AUGCCCAGGUCAGCUCUUUGGCAACCUCCGCCACUGGAUCACGUGAAGUUUAAUGUUGAUGCCGCUGUUUCAAGUGGAAAAUUUGGUGCAGUUGGAGUAAUAUGUAGGGAUGUGGCUGGCACUUUCCUGGGUGCCUCUUCUCUUACUUUCCAACACAUAUUUGAUCCUGUUGCAUUGGAAGCAUUGGCGGUAAGAGAGGCACUGGCGCUCGCGGAGGAUUUAUAUGUGCAUAAGAUACAAGUGGCGUCUGAUUGCAAGAUCGUGGUGGAUGAAAUCAAGCAAGGUACAUCGUCGAAUCAUGCAGCAAUCGUACAUGAAAUCAUAGAGAGAUCGAAUGCUUUUAUUGCUUGUAAUUUUGUCCAUGAAUUUAGGAGCUCAAAUUUUGAGGCUCACAAUCUUGAUAGGUAUGCACUUUCGCUCGGGUUAGGCCGCCGUGUCUGGUUAGGCCUCCCCGGAGAUUUGAAUUUUAUCCCUGUAAAUAUUGUGACAAUUUAA
rnacentral:rRNA from 1 species